GUUAGUUAUCUGGCAAUGGUAUUUGGGGAGACGGGAUGACAGUAGAUAGGUUGAAGCCUCAUGGAAUUAAGGCUCCUUCUCACCGGUUCCCGCUUAGAGCAAUUGUAGGAGGAUUUAGUUUCCUCCAGCAGCAUUAAGGUGGCUUUGCCGGUGUCAGCAGACCAUGGUGGAAAGUACUGGGAGGGAGUCGGGAAGGGAGCUGGGACGAGGAACGUGACUCUGCUUUCACUGAACUGGAAGAAGUGGCUAUAAAACCUCCUGCCCUCAAAUUCCCAGGACAAGGAAAGCCUUUUUCGGUAAUGCUUUCCACAUCUGCUGACUGCGUGGGAGCAGCACCGCUAGAAAACGGCAGUAAAGGAAAGCGGGUGCCGGUCGCCUCACCUUUACGUCCCCUUUGGGGGUGGAACAAAAAGUCUCUGGCUGUGAGAAAGACUGUUCAGCAGCGAUGUGGGCUGUAACCGUCUUUGAGACUUUUAGCUUUGAUCACGCAGGGGCCAUCCAAUCUAUUCAGUUCCCUCUAAAGUAAUCACGUCAGGGAAAUGAAGAGACAGCGGAGUAUCAUCUAUCCGAGUGGCGCAGUGGGCGCUGAUCUUAACGAGCGGGGGCAGGGGGGCAGUUGCUGUGCAAGUGUUACAAGCAGUGGCUCUUCUUGUGCGCGUCUGAAUUGACUGAGGGGCAGAGCACGGUUGCGCCAAAAACGCGGACGCAGGAGGUUUCCGAGAGGUUGAUCUCUAGCGGCUACUUAGUCUGACUUCCCUUUCGCGGCAAGCCCGACUGUCUUCAUAGCUCCCAGAACAGGGGCUGGGGAAGCGGUGCUUGUGGCUUGCGUAUUCUUGUUUACCUUGCUUGAGUGUGUAUAUUGGAUCCGCUUUUGUGCUUAUAAACAACUUUGGAUUCUUAUGAUUUUCUGCAGAGCUUUGAUCUUUUUCUUUUUUUCUUUUUCUUCUCGGUUUGUUUUUUUUUUUUUUGCUUUGCUCCCUCCCUGAUGGAUUUUACUAUGCCUCCGUCAACGAGCCCUGGCUGGCAAAGUUGCUGUGUCCCAGCGGAGACUCUUAGGCGAGAUGGAGGAGUUCAGAUCCGCAGCCUGCCAGAAGAACGUCGCCCAGGAGGGGUUGCUAGCCUCGAGCUAUAGGCGCUGGCGUUCAGGACCUCGGGGAACGACUGUGUGCUGCCGUGAAGAACUACAGGCUACCACUGCUCUCGGACCUUUGUAAGUUAUCACGCGUCGAGAGCUUCCAGGAGAAUUCAAAUGCCAGCAGAAAGGUUCUCCGCCCGGUCCCGACGAGGAGGCUUCGGCCACAGGAAGGUCGGCAGCGUCCUUACCGGACUCGCGGCUGGGCCACGAGGUCUGUGCGAAGCCUCGCCUGUCUGUUUGGAGCUCUGUUUUGGUCUGUUUACCUGGAAUGACCAGUGAGGCCUAAAAUAAGAAUUUUCGUGGCUAGAUGGGUCAGCUGUGACCGCACCCGUCUUUGCCUUGCUUCGCUGCCUAGCAGCAACUUGGGACGCCAGAGUAAAAACUGCUGCAGCGCUUAAGGGAGGCUCUGCAUUUGCCCAGGUUAGGGAGCCAUCAUUAAAGCUUUGGGGGAAGAAAGCUCUAAAAGGAGAAUCUCCCAGUGACCUUGGUGGCUUGAUUCACUUGCAGGAUGCUGUUCUGAGGGCCAGCAACUCGAAGGAAUGCAGCUCGGCCCUUUUUGUUGACUUUGGUGAUGCUGUUUUGAGGAAGCAUGUAAGUACAGAAGGGGUCUGGGAGGGUUUUCAAACAAGACGGGAAAGAGCAAGGAAGAUUUGAGAGCGUGGAAAAACUAGGUGCCGCGGGUACUGAAGUUGUUACGGGCUGAGGGCGUUUGGCGUUGAGCAUCUGAGAGGGGCUAAUGCACGAGGAAUGGUAAAAUGCUGUGACUGAACGCGAGGUUCCUCCCCGGCCUGGGCCCGUGUGUGCACCCUCGCUCCCACAGACACCCCGGAGCCGUAGGGAAACGGGUGAGCAGGCCCACGAGCGGACUUUGGGCACAGCGGUGCGCAGAGAGCGCUGCGGGCUCAGCCGGUGGGGUGGAGUCGGAGCAUGGCGAGCCAGGCUGUCAGGAUCCAUCCGGUUCCGCUCCCUGCUCCUCUGUCCAGCGCUCCAUCCUUCUCUUUCUUUCCCCGUGGCUCUGUCCAGUGCCCCAUCCCUUUGUUUAGCUACUCGUUCCUCUGCCCAGCUCCCCCAUCCCUCUUGUACUCUUUCCAUCUCUGUGACAAUAUCUGCGUCCAUCUAACUGGCUCUCUAUCGCUCUAUCCAGCUCUUCAUCGUCCUCUUCCUCUUCCUAUCCCAGUACCUGCCCGCUGUCCUUCCGUGCGGCUCCCCAUCCGUCUGCCGCUCUCGUCUGCCUUUCUGCCUGUACUUCUCUUUGCCUUCCCAGCCCUCUGUCCACCCCUCCAGCCAUCUCUCUCUAUUUCCAUCCCUCUGCUCAGCUCCUCAUCCAUCUAUUUGCCUCCCUAUCCCUCUUUUCCCCUGUUUUGUCCCAUCUCUCUGUCUGAAUUGCCCUCCCUCUUUUUCUCUCUCCACCUUUCUGGCCAGCUCGUCGUCGUUCUCGUCCUCUUCCCAUCGCUCCUACUGGCUCCCUGUCCCUCUCUUCCCGUCCCCGUUCCUCUCUCCGGUUCUCCCCCCUUCUCUGUUGUUCCCUCGCCGUUCCUCUGGCCGCCUCGCCUUCCCCAUUUUUCUCUCUUCUGCUCCCCGGUCCUCUGUGCAGCCCUCCCUCCAUCUGUGUGGCCCUCUGUCCCUCUCUUUCUCUUCCUUUGUCCAGUGCCCAGACCCUGGGGCUGGCUCUCUGUCCCUCUCUUUCUUUCUCCCUCCAUCCAUCUGCCAAGCUCUCUGCCCCUCUUUUCUUUUGUUCUCCCCCCUGUCCCCGCGUCCAGGUGGAGGUCUGUCGUUCCUUUGCGUUUUGUCUGGUGCGGCGGGUGGCGAGAGGUGGUCGGCGCUCAGCAGAGAUGGUGAUCGGCAGCGCCCGGAGGGUGCCGUCGGUCGGUCUGGUUCGGGUCACGUCGGACACCUCCGCGGGGACUCUGGCCGCGGAGGCGCGGGGCUGUGGCUGUGCAGCGGGGGAGCGCUAGCAGGCUAGAGAUGCCGUGGGGUACGCGGCAGGCAGCGAAGAGGCUCCUGGGGAAGGUGUCACGGAGGCAGAGAGCAGCAGAGGCUCCGAGACCUUGGGCAUUAGGACAGGCGCUCGCGGUAGGGCGGUCUGGAGCUGCUGCUGCUGUCUGUCCUACUUGUCAGCGCGGUCUGCAGUUACUGCCUCUUGUCUGCCUGCGCGCAGCCAGGGCUGUCACGUGGUGCAGCUUGAGUUGCGAUUGCGAUGCUGGCAUUGAGCCCACUUUUCUGUCAGGUCUGCCUUUAUGCAAAGUGGUGUCUUCCCUAUGUCUACAGCUCAACCCAUGUUGUUGAUUUAGUGCUUCCUGAGGGGAUAUGCUGUGCUGUCAACACGCACACCCACCCCACCCCUGCCAUCGCUUCCUGAUGAAUGCAAUCAUUUACAUAGCUUCUGGCUUGUUUCUUUCCUUGGAACUCCUUUCUCUUUGCUGUUCUUGUCCCUCCAAACAAUUUCUGUUUCUAGCAUUAUUAGUGUUGGGCCCUAAACCUUCUAGACCUUCCUUCUUUGAAGUCCAGAGGUUCCAGUAUUGUUUGUACUUUGAGAGUAAAGGUCCUUCACAACUCAUGUCUUAAGUAUGCAACUGCCUUACCUGGGAUUUUCGUUUUCGCAAGUUACUGUUUCUUUCAGGAGCCAGUUACAACAGUAACUUUGCUAUAGCAGAGAAAUGGGGUUACAUGUGUAUGAGCAACAGCACCGUAGUACACAGCAAAGCCAUAAUCUACAGUACUGGUAGCACAAGUCAGUUUCCCAUCAGCUCCAUCUCUCCAGGGUUUGGAGGUUUUGGAGGCCUUACUUUUUAUCCUGCCUUGGCUGGACGGUGCUUUCUGAGAGUGUCCAUCAGAGGCAGAGUUUCCCUGCGGAGGACCAUCUAGCAAAGGCUGGAGGCGGCCGGGUGCCUGAGCGAGCCUGCCUGUCCGUGAGAGCUGCUGUGACAUCUUUGUGAUGAAAUGGAGCCAGAGAGGGUGACUGAAGCAGCAUGGAGGGUCAGUCAUAACUGUGGGAACAAUUACGGGCCUUGGACUAGGGAGUAGUUCUAGGAGGGCUGUGCAGUUGCCCGGCCUCUAACUAACUGCUCUGGCCUCUUUGCAGGUGCCGAAGCCCAGUUGGGCAGUCGAAGGAGCCUUGUCACAGCUGGGAGCUCUGCGGAGAUGCGCGGCUGGCCAUGGAGAGUGAGCUCUGACUUGCAGCGUGGACACAGCUAAGUCCUGGGCUGCAUCAUAUGUGAGCAGUGCUGGGAGGUGCGAGGUGAUUGUUCCCUAGGUGGUCACUGGUGUCACUGGCUGUGGAUGUUUGCCCAUGGAGCUGAGAGGACCAAAAAUAUUAAUUGUCUGACCCGGAGAUGAAUUAGUGCUUGCAGUGCUUCAGGAAAAAGCAGAGGAGUAGGCUGUCAGCUACUCGGACACCUGCCACAUCAAGGGCAGCAGCAGGAGAUGACCCUUCCCUGAUGGAUGGAUGGACGCUGGUGUAGUGAUGACUCUUCAGGCAUCACAGGUAAGGGGAAGCAUGCUGACACUGAGCUCCAUGGCAGACUUGCUUCCAGCUAUUGUUUCUGCGCAGUAAAACAAUAAACAGUUGCUUUAUUCUUUGCA